rnacentral:rRNA from 1 species
CGAUGUGGGAAGGCCCAGACAGCCAGGAUGUUGGCUUAGAAGCAGCCAUCAUUUAAAGAAAGCGUAAUAGCUCACUGGUCGAGUCGGCCUGCGCGGAAGAUGUAACGGGGCUAAACCAUGCACCGAAGCUGCGGCAGCGACACUGUGUGUUGUUGGGUAGGGGAGCGUUCUGUAAGCCUGUGAAGGUGUGUCGUGAGGCAUGCUGGAGGUAUCAGAAGUGCGAAUGCUGACAUAAGUAACGAUAAAGCGGGUGAAAAGCCCGCUCGCCGGAAGACCAAGGGUUCCUGUCCAACGUUAAUCGGGGCAGGGUGAGUCGACCCCUAAGGCGAGGCCGAAAGGCGUAGUCGAUGGGAAACGGGUUAAUAUUCCCGUACUUGGUGUUACUGCGAAGGGGGGACGGAGAAGGCUAUGUUGGCCGGGCGACGGUUGUCCCGGUUUAAGCGUGUAGGUGUGUGUUCCAGGUAAAUCCGGUUCACUUUAACACUGAGGCGUGACGACGAGGCACUACGGUGCUGAAGCAACAAAUGCCCUGCUUCCAGGAAAAGCCUCUAAGCAUCAGGUAACAUCAAAUCGUACCCCAAACCGACACAGGUGGUCAGGUAGAGAAUACCAAGGCGCUUGAGAGAACUCGGGUGAAGGAACUAGGCAAAAUGGUGCCGUAACUUCGGGAGAAGGCACGCUGACACGUAGGUGAAGUGAUUUACUCAUGGAGCUGAAGUCAGUCGAAGAUACCAGCUGGCUGCRACUGUUUAWUAAAAACACAGCACUSUGCAAACACGAAAGUGGACGUAUASGGUGUGACGCCUGCCCGGUGCCGGAAGRUUAAWUGAUGGGGUCAGCGCAAGCGAAGCUCYUGAUYGAAGYCCCGGUAAACGGCGGCCGUAACUAUAACGGUCCUAAGGUAGCGAAAUUCCUUGUCGGGUAAGUUCCGACCUGCACGAAUGGCGUAAYGAUGGCCASRCUGUCUCCWCCCGAGACUCAGYGAARUUGAASUSKYUGUGAWGAUGCARUSUMCCCGCGGCWAGACGGAAAGACCCCRUGAACCUUUACURUAGCUUGACACUGAACAUUGAGCCUUGAUGUGUAGGAUAGGUGGGAGGCUUUGAAGUGUGGACGCCAGUCUGCAUGGAGCCGACCUUGAAAUACCACCCUUUAAUGUUUGAUGUUCUAACGUGGACCCGUUACCCGGGUUGCGGACAGUGUCUGGUGGGUAGUUUGACUGGGGCGGUCUCCUCCUAAAGAGUAACGGAGGAGCACGAAGGUUGGCUAAUCCUGGUCGGACAUCAGGAGGUUAGUGCAAUGGCAUAAGCCAGCUUGACUGCGAGCGUGACGGCGCGAGCAGGUGCGAAAGCAGGUCAUAGUGAUCCGGUGGUUCUGAAUGGAAGGGCCAUCGCUCAACGGAUAAAAGGUACUCCGGGGAUAACAGGCUGAUACCGCCCAAGAGUUCAUAUCGACGGCGGUGUUUGGCACCUCGAUGUCGGCUCAUCACAUCCUGGGGCUGAAGUAGGU